AUUAGGUAGUAGAACCACCAGGUAAAUCUUCUGGACAGUCCCUGGUGGUGGUCGUUUUAGAUGAAUCUACUGAAGUGUAAUCGCAAACCGUUACGGUGUGGAAUAAAGUUGAUAGGCACCGGAUGCCGCGGGAGAUUUUUGUGAACAAAUGGAUAAAGAGAACACCGACUUUGAAAGAUGCUUGCAAAAUUAGCCGAAGUUGGAUGUGAAUUUGGUGCCGUUCCCUAGACAGAUUCCGUUGACAUGGAAAAUAAAAGUAAGUUAAAGCCAUUCAAUGGCCAAAUAUCAAUGAUUGGAUAUAUGUCAAGAUGAAAUUUAAAACUUAUCCAACCAAAACAACAACGAGGUCAGCUAGCUCUCGUUACGAAAGCGGUAAUUCACUUGCGCUCACUCUUCCGGCUGAUGUUGAGUGCUCGGGAUCGACAUUAGUUAGUUGAAUCGUUACUCUAUCAUUAACGCUAUCUUGGAGUUUUUGAUCGAAAGUGUAACCCGUAGCAACGGAAACAGUCCUCACCACUGGUGGCAGUCAUGCACAAAGGAGCCGUUCGAAUUUACUAUAGAGCACGAAAUUGAAUCUGUUUUCCCAACCUGCUGGCAACAACUGAAGGAGACCAAUGGUCUCGGUUCAAUAUUUGACUGCAAGCCACUGACCAUAAAUACCCGUCACGUCGGCGCUGUCGAUUGCAUCAUGAUCACUAUUAUUGACGAUCCAAAUGUUGUCUAUAUAUCGUCGUGAUCGGAGCUGUUAAUCGACUUCGGAUGGUCAACAUUCUUGUAGGAAGAAUAAGAGAAGCUGGUUUGCUGAUGUUUGGAACAUAAAAACAAGUGAGGACCCCGGUGAAUAGUAAAACUGAUCUACGAACUACUGAAAAUAAACGGAACCUCCGAUCAACAGUACGAUUGAGGACGGAUUUGACAACGAGCUCAACAACGAUGGUCGAUCUCGUAGGAAUGUACACGCCGGAAAACACAUCCAAUAUGCACGCACAGAUGUUUAGGAUUUGCUCUGGUUGAUCCCAACACUUCCUUGCUGUUGAUGAAGCCUGUGCGAUCUCUGGAGGAGAGAAUGGAUCCACGAUAUUCUCGUUCCGAUUCCAAGCUAUUUGUAAUUCUAUAAAAACCACAUCAAAUUCGUCAACUCUCAGGAAAUUAAUCAUGCUGGCGGAGAGCGACUUUCCAGAUAUCACUUCCCAGCACUCCAGUAGUGGCCGAUCGGCGAAAAGAAGGACGAACCGUUCAUCAUCAUGAUGCUGAAAACAAAUAAGGCCGCACGUGGACGUUUGGUCGGCCUUCCUUUUUCAAAUAUCAGAUAUCUGCCCAAAAUAAUUGUGGGCUACUACUAUCAGUUUAUUUGCCGAUAAUUGGCAUUAAAAAUUUUGACAAAAAAGUUGAAUUACAAUCGGGCAGCAAAUUUGAUGGCAGAUUGUGUAUUAUUGGAAUGGGAUCGUCUUUUCUAUUUAUCGUUUUAGGUCUGACUAACUCGCUGCGCUUUUGCUUGUCAAUAAUCCAAUUAACGGUUCCAUGCGUGUGUCGAACACGCAGCAGAAUUUCGUAUGGUUAAACUAAUAAAAUGUAUUGUUGAUUUCAAUAAUCGGUAUAUUAUGGAUUCAAAAAAAAAAGAUUGUUGAUUUUACAAUAUUUUCUGAUUGAAACAACAAUACUCAUUUUACUUCAACAAUAUAUAUUGUUGAAACGAGCCUGCCUAAAUAAGACUGAACGUGUAAUUUUCUGUGCGCAUUUUCUAAGUUUCUCAAUAUGUCGCUUCAGUAAUUAAAAAUAGAAGACACUAUAGUUUAAUUAGGAACAGUGGUAUUUUGCAAAUAUAUUAUUGGCUAAUACAUUAAGCUAGUUCUGGCUAUGUUAUCGGCCGCUGUCGUAUAUAUUCACUACUAAACAAAUGGCGGGAAGGUCUUUCCAGGGUCUUCGUCUGGGGCAGAUUGUGACAUCCUCUCAAUCCAUGCAAGAAUUACAAAAGCAACAGAUCAACAAACUCAAAUAACAAAUAAUAUCUGAAGGAUUUAAGAAUAAACCAUUUACG